rnacentral:rRNA from 1 species
UACGUAGGGACCAAGCGUUGUUCGGAUUCAUUGGGCGUAAAGGGCGCGUAGGCGGCGGGGUAAGUCUGGUGUGAAAUCUCGGAGCUCAACUCCGAAAUUGCACUGGAUACUGCUCUGCUAGAGGGCUGGAGAGGAGAUCGGAAUUCACGGUGUAGCAGUGAAAUGCGUAGAUAUCGUGAGGAAGACCAGUGGCGAAGGCGGAUCUCUGGACAGCUCCUGACGCUGAGGCGCGAAGGCUAGGGGAGCAAACGGG